rnacentral:rRNA from 1 species
CCUACGGGAGGCAGCAGUAGGGAAUAUUGCUCAAUGGGGGAAACCCUGAAGCAGCAACGCAGCGUGGAGGAUGAAGGUUUUCGGAUUGUAAACUCCUUUUGUUAGAGAAGAUAAUGACGGUAUCUAACGAAUAAGCACCGGCUAACUCCGUGCCAGCAGCCGCGGUAAUACGGAGGGUGCAAGCGUUACUCGGAAUCACUGGGCGUAAAGCGCGCGUAGGCGGGAUAGCAAGUCAGGUGUGAAAUCCUAUGGCUUAACCAUAGAACUGCAUUUGAAACUGUUAUUCUAGAGUAUGGGAGAGGUAGGUGGAAUUCUUGGUGUAGGGGUAAAAUCCGUAGAGAUCAAGAGGAAUACUCAUUGCGAAGGCGACCUGCUAGAACAUAACUGACGCUGAUGCGCGAAAGCGUGGGGAGCAAACAGGAUUAGAUACCCCUGUAGUC